AGAUACUACCACCAGGACCACCUAGUACUUACCCACAAUGCAUCGUCUAGCACUCUUCCUCGUUCUCCUUGUUCCUGGUGGACAGGUGCAGGGCGUCUCUAUCACACACCUUCGCGUCCCGAGCCAGGUGGAGGCAGAGAGCGAGCCACUAGUUAUGGACUGCGUGUACGAGGUGGAGCAGUGGGAGAGUUCUGGCCUGGUGGUGAAGUGGUACUUGAACACCCAACUUGUCUACCAGUGGAUUCCCCCAAGGCGCCCUCAAGCUCUAGGGGCAUUGGCAGGGCGCGUUGACCCCUCCUUCCGUGCCUCCCCGCAUCCCUGGUCCGCCCAUCGUGCCCUCUAUGUGCCAAGCCCCCAGCCAGCGCUCUCUGGUCUUCUCUCCUGCGCCGUCAGUACCUUCGGAGGGGAAGACUCACGUUCCGCCCCUCUUCUUGUGUGGAGUGAGUGUGGUGGUGGUGGUGGUGGUGGUGGUGGUGGUAGUGGAUAGAGGUUGGGGGAUGGGUGAAGGAUAAGGAAGAGUAGGAGGAGGAGCAGGGAGGUGAAGAAGAGUGGGAGAUGGAGGAAGAGGAGGAGAAGGAGGAAAUAAUUAGGGGUUGGAGGGUGUGGUGAAGGAGGAAGAGAAGGAGGAGAGAGAAUAGAGAAGAGUGGAGUUGGAGGACGAGUGGAGGAGAGGAAGGAAGAGAGGGAAGAGUGAAGAUAGCAGAAGAUGAGGAAGAGGAGGAGUAAAAGUAGGAGGAGGAGGAGGAGGAGGAGGAGGAGGAGGAUGAGGAGGAUGGAGUAAGGACA